CCUACGGGUGGCAGCAGUAGGGAAUCUUCCACAAUGGGCGAAAGCCUGAUGGAGCAACGCCGCGUGGGUGAAGAAGGUCUUCGGAUCGUAAAAUCCUGUUGUGAGAGAAGAAAGUGCGUGAGAGUAACUGUUCACGUUCCGACGGUAUCUAACCAGAAAGCCACGGCUAACUACGUGCCAGCAGCCGCGGUAAUACGUAGGUGGCAAGCGUUGUCCUGAUUUAUUGGGCGUAAAGGUAACGCAGGCGGUGUUUUAAGUCUGAUGUGAAAGCCUUGGGCUUAACCCGGGUAGUGCAUUGGAAACGGGGGGACUUGAGUGCAGGAGAGGGAAGUGGAAGUCCAUGUGUAGCGGUGAAAUGCGUAGAUAUAUGGAAGAACACCAGUGGCGAAGGCGGAUUACUGGUCUGUAACUGACGCUGAGGUUCGAAAGCGUGGGUAGCAAACAGGAUUAGAUACCCUUGUAGUC
rnacentral:rRNA from 1 species